GUUGGUACGUGCGUGCUGGGUUUGGCGCAUGCUCAGUUGGUGGGUCGCGGCCCACAGGGCUGUGGGCGGAAGCGGGAUAUGAUUUUUUGAAGAAACACCACUAAAACGAUGUGUCUUUUCCUGUGCAUAUCAAGGUACAGAUGACAUUGGUUUCCCCAGUAUUGGUGAUGUUCACUUGGCUGGAGUGAGU